rnacentral:rRNA from 1 species
UACGAAGUGUGCAAGCUUUAAUCGGAAUUACUGGGCGUAAAGCGUGCGUAGGCGGUUGGCUAAGUCAGAUGUGAAAGCCCUGGGCUCAACCUGGGAAUGGCAUUUGAAACUGGCGAGCUAGAGUGUGAUAGAGGAUGGCGGAAUUCCCGGUGUAGCGGUGAAAUGCGUAGAGAUCGGGAGGAACAUCCGUGGCGAAGGCGGCCAUCUGGAUCAACACUGACGCUGAGGCACGAAAGCGUGGGGAGCAAACAGG